rnacentral:rRNA from 1 species
GUUGAUAAGAAGCGUUUAAUCCAAGAUAUCCGAAUGGGGAAACCCAGUAGAUGAAGAAUCUACUAUCAAUAGAUGAAUACAUAGUCUGUUGAGGCAAACCGGGAGAACUGAAACAUCUAAGUACCCCGAGGAAAAGAAAUCAACCGAGAUUUUGUCAGUAGCGGCGAGCGAAAGCGAAAGAGCCAGCAAGUGAUAGCAGCAAAGACAGAAGAAUUGGCUGGGAAGCCAAGCGACACAGGGUGAUAGCCCCGUAUUUUAAGUUUAUGUUGUGGUACUAAACUUGCAACAAGUAGGGCGGGACACGAGAAAUCCUGUUUGAAGAUGGGGGGACCAUCCUCCAAGGCUAAAUACUCCUGAUUGACCGAUAGUGAACCAGUACUGUGAAGGAAAGGCGAAAAGAACCCCAGUGAGGGGAGUGAAAUAGAACCUGAAACCGUGUACGUACAAGCAGUGGG